CAUUUGCAUAACACAGGCAGCUGUUAAGCUCUGGUUGGGCUGGUGACAUUCACUACAACCCAAGGUUUCAGAUUGGAGUCUGGAGAGUGAAACCUCAGGUCACUCCGCUUGUGGAACUGGAGUUUCACUGGGGUGUCCCACAUUCAGACAUACAGGUACCCAACUGGCAUCAGUACCAGUACCAAAGAAUGAUACACUUGGAAGCAGGGCCGUGAGUGGGUGCGUCAGACGAUCUGCUCUCUUGAAGGGUUAACAGAAUGCCUGAAAGAUUCAUGCCAGUUGGAUGGAAAUCACAAAUGUGCAGCUGGGUCUCCCACUAAAGUUUGCUCCUUUUGGGAUACAAGCAUGAAACCUGGUAGAAGUGUAGCUGACAACAUUAUAAACAAUCUCAGAUGUGGAGCCAAACAUCAACUUGGAAUAGUAAUGGCAAUUUUCCAGUAAGGCUGCCAGAAGAUUUAUGUGAUGUAUCAUCCCAUGCAAUAGGCAUGAAAACUGUAAUUCUCAUGAAACUUUAUGCCCCACAAGACUGUGCAUAUAUACAUUCAGAAUAAUCUUCUAUGCAAUGGAAUGUCUCCGGUGCAGAACCAGUUUCUAAAGUUGGAUACCAUAGUUUAGAUCCGAGCAAAAGCUUUAUUAAACAUGAGAUUAAAAGCAAAAAAAAAAAAAGGAUGGAGGAGAGGGAGACUAGAAUUUACAAGCUGCCACGAUAUCACUGUAAAUAAUGGCAUGAACCAACCAAAGUUUAGCACUUUUAAGUCCCAUUGCUAUCAAAAGGAGAACUGGGCACAUACUCAGAUCUUUCCCAUUUAAAACAAUGAGACUUCAGCUGAAAUGUGACUUAAUUUUAUAAAAUCCUGAUAAAAGUAAAAUCUUUGUCAAAGAAGGACGAAAGAAGCUCAGUACCCUAUUCAGUCCCCUAUAGUAAGGGGAUUGAGCCCAAUCUAGCCAACGUUCAGCACAUGAAGCCCAACCUGUUCAUGUUUAUUUGGAAGUCAGGUACACUGUGCUCAAUUGGAUUUAUUCCCUGCACAGUAGGAUUGUAGCCCAAGUCCCAUUUCAAUAGGAUAGUACCUUAAGGAUAUACAUAUUUUUAGUUCACUACAAACAAACCAUGCCACUCUUGCUCUUCAUAAAAUACUGGUGGAUAUAUUUUAAUGAAACAUAAUAUAACAAAACCCUAGCAAGGCUGCUCAACUUCGGACUCCUGCAGAUGUUGGCCUACAACUCCCAUAAUCCCUGGCUAUUGGCCACUGUGGCUGGGGAUUAUGGGAGCUGAGGUCCAAAAACAUCAGGUGGGGGAGGGCUAAGUAGAGCAGGCCUGCCUCAGGGGGACAUUUCAUGCAUGCUCAAGUUGAUAUCAAAACCUGAAACUGAUGUUAACAAAAUGUUUUUCCUCCUUGACUGACCAGAAAUAAGGGACUUGGAAAUGGCUACUUUUUUUCUUGAGCCUCUAGGAUUACUGCUUCUAGAACUCUGACAACCCCCUCUGCA